GACGAACGCUGGCGGCGUGCCUAAUACAUGCAAGUUGAGCGCUGAAGGUUGGUCCUUGUACCAACUGGAUGAGCAGCGAACGGGUGAGUAACGCGUGGGUAAUCUGCCUUUGAGCGGGGGACAACAUUUGGAAACGAAUGCUAAUACCGCAUAAAAACUUUAAACACAAGUUUUAAGUUUGAAAGAUGCAAUUGCAUCACUCAAAGAUGAUCCCGCGUUGUAUUAGCUAGUUGGUGAGGUAAAGGCUCACCAAGGCGAUGAUACAUAGCCGACCUGAGAGGGUGAUCGGCCACAUUGGGACUGAGACACGGCCCAAACUCCUACGGGAGGCAGCAGUAGGGAAUCUUCGGCAAGGGACGAAAGUCUGACCGAGCAACGCCGCGGGAGUGAAGAAGGUUGUCGGAUCGUAAAACUCGGUUGGUAGAGAAGAACGUUGGUGAGAGUGGAAAGCUCAUCAAGUGACGGUAACUACACAGAAAGGGACGACUAACUACGUG
rnacentral:rRNA from 1 species